rnacentral:rRNA from 1 species
UAAGCCAUGGCGAGGUCAACGUAGCAAUACGUGGGGCACACGGGGCUCAGUAACACGNUAGNNNAANCAUAACCAGAGGACGUGGAUAAACUCGGGAAACUGAGGCNUAAACCGCGAUAGACCAAGAUACCUGGAAUGGUUUUUGAUCAAAAUCUAUAUGGCCUUUGGAUUGGACUGCGACCGAUCAGGCUGUUGGUGAGGUAAUGGCCCACCAAACCUGUAACCGGUACGGGCUCUGAGAGGAGGAGCCCGGAGAUGGGUACUGAGAAAAGGACCCAGGCCCUAUGGGGCGCAGCAGGCGCGAAACCUCUGCAAUAGGCGAAAGCCUGACAGGGUUAUUCUGAGUGACUUUCGCUAAGAAAGUCUUUUGACAUCUCUAAAAAUGGUGUAGAAUAAGGGGUGGGCAAGUCUGGUGUCAGCCGCCGCGGUAAUACCAGNGNNNNGAGUGGUCGGGACGAUUAUUGGGCCUAAAGCAUCCGUAGCCGGUUUUACAAGNCCUCCGUUAAAUCCAACUGCUUAACAGAUGGGCCGCGGAGGAUACUAUAAGACUAGGAGGCANGAGAGGCAAGCGGUACUCAGUGGGUAGGAGUAAAAUCCGUUGAUCCAUUGAAGACCACCAGUGGCGAAGGCGGCUUGCCANAAUGCGCUCGACGGUGAGGGAUGAAAGCUGGGGGAGCAAACCGGAUUAGAUACCCGGGUAGUCCCAGCUGUAAACGAUGCAUACUCGGUGAUGGACUAGC